rnacentral:misc_RNA from 1 species
UCGCGGCUUAUCACCGGCAGUCCCCUUAGAGUGCCCAACUGAAUGGUGGCAACUAAGGGCGAGGGUUGCGCUCGUUGCGGGACUUAACCCAACAUCUCACGACACGAGCUGACGACAGCCAUGCAGCACCUGUGCACGAGCCCCGAAGGGCUGCCGUGUUUCCACGACAUUCCCGUGCAUGUCAAGCCUUGGUAAGGUUCUUCGCGUCGCGUCGAAUUAAACAACAUGCUCCGCUGCUUGUGGUUCAAUUCGAAGCGACGCGCAGAACCUUACCAGCCCUUGACAUGUCCCGUUUGGGUUUCAGAGAUGAGACCCUUCAGUUCGGCUGGCGGGAA